rnacentral:misc_RNA from 1 species
GUAGGUGAACCUGCGGAAGGAUCAUUAACACAAUGUCGAUAGAUCACAUCUAUGUGGAGGACUUCGUCUGACUCAUUUUUGUGACUAUCAACUACAAACCAACCCGCGCACUUGUUUAACAAACAAAACUUCACCCUCAUUUUUAUAAUGAGCGUCUUUUUUCAUUUCUUAUGAAACACCCCGUCUAAACCGUACUGAUAUACUUUCUCAUCUCUAUCUUCGGAUGUGAUAUGGGAAACAACAUUUGUCCUAACCAGUCAAAUGACACAAUAUAAUACAACUCUUAACAACGGAUAUCUCGGCUGAC